AGUCACGAGUUUGAUCCUGGCUCAGGAUGAACGCUAGCGGCAGGCUUAACACAUGCAAGUCGAACGGCAGCACAGGUAGCAAUACUGGGUGGCGAGUGGCGCACGGGUGCGUAACACGUAUGCAACCUACCUUUAACUGGAAAAUAGCCCGAAGAAAUUCGGAUUAAUGUUCCAUAAUAUAUUAGAAUGGCAUCAUUUUAAUAUUAAAGUAUUACGGUUAGAGAUGGGCAUGCGUCCGAUUAGUUUGUUGGCGGGGUAACGGCCCACCAAGGCUACGAUCGGUAGGGGACCUGAGAGGGGUAUCCCCCACACUGGUACUGAGACACGGACCAGACUCCUACGGGAGGCAGCAGUGGGGAAUUUUGGACAAUGGGCGCAAGCCUGAUCCAGCCAUGCCGCGUGAGUGAAGAAGGCCUUCGGGUUGUAAAGCUCUUUCGGCCGGGAAGAAAUCGCACAGGUUAAUACCCUGUGUGGAUGACGGUACCGGAAUAAGAAGCACCGGCUAACUACGUG
rnacentral:rRNA from 1 species